AGGGUAAGCCGGCCCCUAAGUCGAGGCAGAAAUGCGUAGACGAUGGGAAUCAGGUUAAUAUUCCUGAGCCAGGAGGAUGUGACGGAUUGCGACGGUUGUCCCCCCUUAUCGGAUUGGGUGGGCCGCUUAGCAGUUCCUGGAAAUAGCCCUCCAUCAGACCGUACCCUAAACCGACACAGGUGGACUGGUAGAGAAUACCAAGGCGCUUGAGAGAACGAUGUUGAAG
rnacentral:rRNA from 1 species